AGGGGGAGGCGGGUCGGGGGAGGGCAGGGGAACGGAAGGGGUACCCGGGGAGCAUCCUAAGGGAACCUCUUCGCUUAAAAGGGCGGCCGCUGAAGUGGCUCUGAGAACAAAGGAGUUAACACUCGGACUCCACAGGUGGCCCGGGGUGGCCCUGGAGGAGCCCGCCUUUACCUUGCCCUAGCCCACCGGCGCGUCCCGCAGUUCCGAACUAAACGCGCCAGGCCGGGAAGGCUCGGGCUGUCUGAAGAGAGGCGUGACCUCGCCUACACCAGAUCCAAGGCGCACAUACCGAGACACCCCUCAACCUCACUCAGCAGUGCCGUUUCCAACUCCGCGGCAGAGACAGCGCCUGGCGACCCCGGGGCCUGCGUCCCCGCCCGGUCAGCAUCGCAGGUGUUACCCAAACUCUGACGGUCCCUUUAAGAACUCACCCGGAGUCGCGCCCUCCGAAGCUGAGCCGCCCUCGGCCAGCGCUGCAGGCCCCAGCUUAUAAAUCUAUGAAGGUGUCCAGGUCCUGCCAGACUCCGCUGCAUCUUUUGCUUUCACUCCAGCAGGGUAGCAGCAUGCUGCCUGUGCCAAGGCAAUCACUAAAAGGAAAGGAUUUAAUGCUGUCAAAAAAGCUUAUGCCAGCUUAGGCUGCAGGAAGAGGAACAGUGUCAAGUAUGUUGAAAGUGGACAUAUUGGUCAGACCUCCAUGAGAGCCUAGGGGGCAUUGCUUAGCAGCACGCUUUUAAAGGAAUCUGAACAAACCAGCAUGUGGAAAGAAGAGAGUAACCACAGCAAUCAGGAAACAACUGUACAAUCUAGGGCCAUUUCAUUGGAAAAACAGAAGUCUCCAGGGAGCUGCAGUCAUCAAACAGGCUUAUUCUGUGUACCCAGUGGGCAAGUACAGUCAAUGGAUGAAAAUUCAACCAAUGGACAAACACAGGAAGUUUUUCCUUAACAUGAGUUGUCAGAAACUGUCCAAAAUUCCAAAGAGCUGCCUCAAGGUAGUGGAAAUUUUUUUUUUUUUUUAAUCAGGAAGGUGCUGAAUGAAGCCAGCAAGGAUUCUGUGUCAGAGGGUGGUAGAUACCCAGGACAUAAGGUUGAACCACGUGACCUCUGAGACCACAGUUCUAAGCUGUUGAAACCUCAGUCCCUGCUGAAUACUGAAAUGGUAUUAGCACCCUUUAGUCUACAUCAAGAAUUCGUUCUACCCAGUUUUGGUGGUACCAAGACUGAUCUCUUUCUCAUAGAUAAUUCUUAACAGAAUAAAAGCUACAGGUUGAAACCAAUUCCCUUUAAAAUGUGGACAGUUGACCAUCUCCAUGAUAGGUAGUUAGGCACUGAAUUAAUGCUUUUUAAUGGAAGAGCCACCCUAAGAUUCCUGGAGUGUGGUAUAAUGGAGUACUAAAUCAGCAUAGGACUAAUAACUGCCUCCCGUGUAAACUGGUCUAUCCGGAGAGUGGUAUAGCCUCUCAUACAGUGUUCAAAGGCAGAUUUAACUCACUGCAGGUCCACAGCAACCGAUAAGAUAAACUCGUUGGUUAUGGUCUCCCACUUUGCAAAGGAGAGCACAGAGGAAGAGGAAACUGAGAUAACUUGGUUUAGGACCCCACAGCUGGCUGGAGCUGGGCUGAACAUUAGUUCAUUGUUUCUUCGAUUAAUCUAUGCUGCUUUUUCUCUACUUGGCUCCUUUUCUAAAUUAAACAAAACAAAACAA
rnacentral:lncRNA from 1 species